rnacentral:lncRNA from 13 species
AUGGAGUCUUGCUCUGUAACCCAGGCUGGAGUGCAGUGGCACGAUCUCGUCUCACUGAAACCGCUGCCUCCCGAGUUCAAGUGAUUCUCCUGCCUCAGCCUUUCGAGUAGCUGGGAUUACAGAGCAUGGAGAGAGAAGGAUGCAGAGAUGGCAAGACAGCAAUAGAAAAAUACAGCCAGGGUUGCUUGAAAAAAUGCAGAACUUUACAACACAAUGGGAUGUCCAUGGACCCCGGGCAGACAACAGCGCCUCCCUCAUUCAUCUUUUCCAUGUGAAGAAAAGCAAACCUCUCUUCCUAGUGUGCUUUGGGAUUGGACAAUUGCCCUCUCUUCUCUCUAAGCUAAUUUUACAUAAAAUGAACUUCAGUAUGAUAGAAAGAAAAACAGAAAUAAAUUUGAUGAGAAACAGUACAAAAUUCAAGUGGAUUGUGUGGGGAACCGCAGUGCUAUAAUAAAUUAACAAAAUUAUAUUUUCAUUCUACUAAUGUGCAAGGCAUUAUCUUGUGUUUACAAAUCAUCUCUGCAGUAAAAAAAUAUUCUAGUUUGUGCCUUAUCUUUGCCCACUUUAAAAACUUUACUAUUAGACAAUACAAAGUAUCAAAUCAAAUCAGAUUCACGUAGAUCUAACUAAUACCAAAUUUUACUGAAAAUAUGAUGGAUGCUGGUAAUUGUAACAAACAGAAAAAAAAAACCAAAAACCAGAAAUCUGACCAACAAGGCAGGUCCUUUUUCUUCUGCUAUGAACACAUUUUUUAAAUUUCAAAAUUAACAUGUAAGGGUCUAACUCAUGCAUUGGGGCAUUAUUGCACAAAGGAAAUGCCUUUGUUAAGGAUUAUUUCCUAUUAACAUUUCAUUAAUCUGCAUAGACCAGGUAUAACCGGCUAAAAGCAUUUCAUAGAUAAGGGCUCUAUUGCUACCACAUAUCAUUGCUGUAUUGCCAUUAGCAUUUUUGCAAGAGUUUUGGAACAAAUCAUCAUUUUCUGUCUUUCCCAGGCAUCUCCUGUAGAGAGAGGAAAUAGAUUGUAGGCUGUUUGAGCUAUAAAGAUACCCUAAAAGUGCUCUUUCUACUCUCUAUUCUUAUGCAGUAACAUAUCCGGUAUCAGCUCAUACCAGACCAGAUACAUAAGGCAUGUUUCCCCACACACCAAACAAUUAACUCUGCAGUGGAUGCCAGCCAGAUGUCUUAAUUUAAAUCACUUCUGAUGCUGUCUACAUGAUGAAGGUUUAGUCUCACAAUAUAGUCCCCACUUUACACACCAGUUGUAAGUCUGGACCACCACAGACUUCUGACCAACUGGCUAUAAAUCAGGGUUUCUACAACUUUUGGGUUUGAUUUAUUUGCUAGAGCUGCUCACAGAAGUCAGGAAAACACUUUUAGUGUGUUGGUUUAUUAUAAAGGAUAUCACAAAGAGUGUGGAUGAAUGGCCAGAUAGAAGAGUUGCGUAAGGCAGG